rnacentral:rRNA from 1 species
GAUGAACGCUGGCGGCGUGCCUAAUACAUGCAAGUCGAGCGAAUGGAUUGAGAGCUUGCUCUUAUGAAGUUAGCGGCGGACGGGUGAGUAACACGUGGGUAACCUGCCCAUAAGACUGGGAUAACUCCGGGAAACCGGGGCUAAUACCGGAUAACAUUUUGAACCGCAUGGUUCGAAAUUGAAAGGCGGCUUCGGCUGUCACUUAUGGAUGGACCCGCGUCGCAUUAGCUAGUUGGUGAGGUAACGGCUCACCAAGGCAACGAUGCGUAGCCGACCUGAGAGGGUGAUCGGCCACACUGGGACUGAGACACGGCCCAGACUCCGACGGGAGGCAGCAGUAGGGAAUCUUCCGCAAUGGACGAAAGCCUGACGGAGCAACGCCGCGUGAGUGAGGAAGGCUUUCGGGUCGUAAAACUCUGUUGUUAGGGAAGAACAAGUGCUAGUUGAAUAAGCUGGCACCUUGACGGUACCUAACCAGAAAGCUACGGCUAACUACGUGCCAGCCGCCGCAGUAA